UAGCUCAGUUGGUAGAGCAUGGUGUGUGCCACGCCAGGGUUGUGGGUUCGAUUCCCAC
rnacentral:tRNA from 1 species